UACGUAGGGUGCAAGCGUUGUCCGGAAUUAUUGGGCGUAAAGAGCUCGUAGGCGGUUUGUUGCGUCGGCUGUGAAAUCCCGAGGCUCAACCUCGGGUCUGCAGUCGAUACGAGCAAACUAGAGUGUUGCAGGGGAGAUCGGAAUUCCUGGUGUAGCGGUGAAAUGCGCAGAUAUCAGGAGGAACACCGGUGGCGAAGGCGGAUCUCUGGGCCUUACCUGACGCUCAGGCGCGAAAGCUAGGGGAGCGAACAGG
rnacentral:rRNA from 1 species